GGGAGAGGCUGACCAGCUGCGCUUAGGAGAGUCUGGAUGGAGAAACCAGGGAGAGAAAGAACCCCGGGAAGAGGAAGCUCAGAAAGGCACCCAGCAGCCGGAACCACCCAGCCAGGCCUGCACAAGAUGUGUGACCACAGAUGCUGGAGGGAACUUGUGCGUGGAUGUAUGCCACGUACACAGGUUAGGAUCUCACGGUUCAUUCGAGCCCUGCAUCAGGUGCUGUGUUGACAAUGCAGAGCCUGCUUGGGAUUCUUUCUCUCCUUCUCCCUCUGCCUCUCCCCUGCUCUCUCUCUCCCUCUCUCUCUCAAAAUAAAUAAAUA